rnacentral:rRNA from 1 species
AACGCUGGCGGCGUGCCUAAUACAUGCCAGUCGAGCGAACAGACGAGGAGCUUGCUCCUCUGACGUUAGCGGCGGACGGGUGAGUAACACGUGGAUAACCUACCUAUAAGACUGGGAUAACUUCGGGAAACCGGAGCUAAUACCGGAUAAUAUAUUGAACCGCAUGGUUCAAUAGUGAAAGACGGUUUUGCUGUCACUUAUAGAUGGAUCCGCGCCGCAUUAGCUAGUUGGUAAGGUAACGGCUUACCAAGGCAACGAUGCGUAGCCGACCUGAGAGGGUGAUCGGCCACACUGGAACUGAGACACGGUCCAGACUCCUACGGGAGGCAGCAGUAGGGAAUCUUCCGCAAUGGGCGAAAGCCUGACGGAGCAACGCCGCGUGAGUGAUGAAGGUCUUCGGAUCGUAAAACUCUGUUAUUAGGGAAGAACAAAUGUGUAAGUAACUAUGCACGUCUUGACGGUACCUAAUCGAGAAAGCCACGGCUAACUAC